ACCCUGAGGGAUAACUCGGCCAUUAGAGCACGAGACUCUUAAUCUCCAAGUCGUGGGUUCGAGUCCCACACUGGGUA